GAACCAGUUUAGUUCAGAUCAGAGUGUCGUCAAUACUACAACAGCUAAGUUGUUUUUAUUAAUUCUACCUACGAUAUUUGGGUGUACCUGGUUAACUACUAAAAAUCAUGAUUGUUCCGUACAAAGUGUUGGUGCGAAUUGUCCUGUUGGUCUGCCUAUUUCUGCUCGUAAACGCAAACGUUGCGAUACCGAAGGAUACCUGCCCUGACGGCUUUAGACCUAUAAAAGUUGGAGGAUCACCGAUUUGUGUAAAAAAUGAGCCUAAAAACGAAUAGUAACCUAAGUACCAGAAGGUUUUCGUCGGUAAUUCAACUGACGUAUUAUUUUAGGUGAAAUUAAAAAUUUAUUUUAAUAUGUACUCAAAUUGUUCAACUAUUUAUUAAUUAAGUAGUAGUUACCUUUAAAAAAAACUGUUUAAAAAAGAUUUUUUUAAUUCAUUGUUUUUUUUUUAUUCUCUAAAUAUAUUUGAAAUUAUAUUUGCUAAAAUCAACAUGUUUGUUUCUAGAACCUUGGAUGUCUCGAAUCCUCUGACCCAUUGAGACGGUUUCCAACUUUUCCCGCAUUUUAUUGUUCGUUCAUUGUUAAUGAAAAGACAAAGGGCAAAAAGUUAAAGAAACAUCUAAGGUACGCUACAGACGUAGACCACGACAUUACCUUUAUUUAACCGAGUAUUAAAAUACCUACAUACCAUUAUAGGCAGUGCACUUUAUAGAUGCAAAAAUGCUCUGCCUAUAAUGAGGAAUCAGUACAAACCAGUAUGUGGGAAGUAAUUUUUCAUUACGUUUAAUUUGUACAUACACUGCCUACCCUAGUUAAAAACGUUGUGCACGGCACUGCUAUACUAAUGUUAUAAAUGUGAAAGUGUAAUUUUUUUAUUGUACCUAAGUUUGUCCUCGGGCUCAGAAAAUAUUUAUUCAUGACUAUACUCAAACUUAAAAUAAUAUUAGAUAGGUAAUAUAGUGUAUCUUGGUGGUGGGGUGGGGUUUUCCUUCCAAGCCAUUUUCCAGACGAUGGUGUGUCCGAUAACCAAUACAUCGCAAAAAUUUGUCCGCCAAGGUCAUCACUUGAUUUUAAUUAUCUUUAUUUAUACAUACAUUUAAUUAAGCAAAAAUCGGCGCAAAAGUUGUAAUAAAUAUAUC
rnacentral:lncRNA from 1 species